GUCUACGGCCAAGCUACCCUGACCAAGCUCAAUUCCGUCUGAUCUCGGAAGCUAAGCACAGUCGGGCCCAGUUAGUACUUGGAUUGGAGACCACCUAGGAAGACCUGGUGCUAUAGGGG
rnacentral:rRNA from 1 species